rnacentral:rRNA from 1 species
GAACGAUGAAGCGGUGCUUGCACCGUGGAUUAGUGGCGAACGGGUGAGUAAUACGUGAGUGACCUACCUUUGACUCUGGGAUAAGCCUGGGAAACUGGGUCUAAUACCGGAUACGACCAAUCUCUGCAUGGGGUGUUGGUGGAAAGCGUUAUGGAGUGGUUUUAGAUGGGCUCACGGCCUAUCAGCUUGUUGGUGAGGUAAUGGCUUACCAAGGCGACGACGGGUAGCCGGCCUGAGAGGGUGACCGGCCACACUGGGACUGAGACACGGCCCAGACUCCUACGGGAGGCAGCAGUGGGGAAUAUUGCACAAUGGGCGCAAGCCUGAUGCAGCGACGCCGCGUGAGGGAUGACGGCCUUCGGGUUGUAAACCUCUGUUAGCAUCGAAGAAGCGAAAGUGACGGUAGGUGCAGAGAAAGCGCCGGCUAACUACGUGCCAGCAGCCGCGGUAAUACGUAGGGCGCGAGCGUUGUCCGGAAUUAUUGGGCGUAAAGAGCUUGUAGGCGGUUGGUCGCGUCUGCUGUGAAAGGCCGGGGCUUAACUCCGGUUUUGCAGUGGGUACGGGCUAACUAGAGUGCAGUAGGGGAGACUGGAAUUCCUGGUGUAGCGGUGGAAUGCACAGAUAUCAGGAGGAACACCGAUGGCGAAGGC